AGAGUUUGAUCCUGGCUCAGGAUGAACGCUAGCUACAGGCUUAACACAUGCAAGUCGAGGGGAAACGACAUCGAAAGCUUGCUUUUGAUGGGCGUCGACCGGCGCACGGGUGAGUAACGCGUAUCCAACCUGCCCACCACUUGGGGAUAACCUUGCGAAAGUAAGACUAAUACCCAAUGACGUCUCUAGAAGACAUCUGAAAGAGAUUAAAGAUUUAUCGGUGAUGGAUGGGGAGUGCGUCUGAUUAGCUUGUUGGCGGGGUAACGGCCACCAAGGCGACGAUCAGUAGGGUUCUGAGAGGAAGGUCCCCCACAUUGGAACUGAGACGACGGUCCAACUCCGUACGGGAGGCA
rnacentral:rRNA from 1 species